UACGGGGGGGGCAAGCGUUGUUCGGAAUUACUGGGCGUAAAGGGUUCGUAGGUGGCCGACUAAGUCAAACGUGAAAUCCCUCAGCUUAACUGGGGAACUGCGUCUGAUACUGGUCGGCUUGAGUGCAGGAGAGGAACGCGGAAUUCCAGGUGUAGCGGUGAAAUGCGUAGAUAUCGAGAGGAACACCUGCGGCGAAGGCGGGUUGCUGGGCCGACACUGACGCUGAGGCGCGAAAGCCAGGGGAGCGAACGGG
rnacentral:rRNA from 1 species